CAAGUCGAGCGGCAGCGCGGGGCAACCUGGCGGCGAGCGGCGAACGGGUGAGUAAUGCAUCGGAACAUGUCCAUGUCGUGGGGGAUAGCCCGGCGAAAGCCGGAUUAAUACCGCAUACGCCCGAGAGGGGAAAGUGGGGGACCGCAAGGCCUCACGCGAUUGGGUUGGCCGAUGUCCGAUUAGCUAGUUGGUGGGGUAAAGGCUUACCAAGGCGAUGAUAGGUAGCUGGUCUGAGAGGAUGAUCAGCCACACUGGGACUGAGACACGGCCCAGACUCCUACGGGAGGCAGCAGUGGGGAAUUUUGGACAAUGGGGGCAACCCUGAUCCAGCCAUUCCGCGUGAGUGAAGAAGGCCUUCGGGUUGUAAAGCUCUUUUGUCCGGAACGAAACGGUGGACGUGAAUAUCGUUCGCUACUGACGGUACCGGAAGAAUAAGCACCGGCUAACUACGUGCCAGCAGCCGCGGUAAUACGUAGGGUGCGAGCGUUAAUCGGAAUUACUGGGCGUAAAGCGUGCGCAGGCGGUUUUGUAAGCCAGAUGUGAAAUCCCCGGGCUCAACCUGGGAAUGGCAUUUGGGACUGCAAGGCUGGAGUGCGGCAGAGGAGACUGGAAUUCCUGGUGUAGCAGUGAAAUGCGUAGAUAUCAGGAGGAAUACCGAUGGCGAAGGCAGGUCUCUGGGCUGACACUGACGCUCAUGCACGAAAGCGUGGGGAGCAAACAGGAUUAGAUACCCUGGUAGUCCACGCCCUAAACGAUGUCGACUGGUUGUUGGGGGUUUGACACUCUCAGUAACGAAGCUAACGCGUGAAGUCGACCGCCUGGGGAGUACGGCCGCAAGGUUAAAACUCAAAGGAAUUGACGGGGACCCCCACAAGCGGUGGAUUAUGUGGAUUAAUUCGAUGCAACGC
rnacentral:rRNA from 1 species